CACCAACGCCGCGURRGGGGUGAAGGCUUUCGGGUUGUAAACUCUUUUUCUUGGGAAAGAAAAUGACGGUACCUGGGGGAUAAAGCCCGGCUAACUACGUGCCAGCAGCCGCGGUAAUACGUAGGAGGCGAGCGUUAUCCGGAUUUAUUGGGCGUAAAGAGAGCGUAGGCGGUUUUUCAAGUCGGAUGUGAAAUCUCCCGGCUUAACCGGGAGGAGUCAUUCRAUACUGUUAGGCUAGAGUGCAGCAGGGGAAAACGGAAUUCCCGGUGUAGUGGUGAUAUGCGUAGAUACCGGGAGGCCAGAGGCGAAAGCGGUUUUCUAGGCUGUUUCUGACGCUGAGGCUCAAAAGCGUGGGGAGCAAAAAGGUUUAUAUACCCUGGUAGUCCACGCCCUAAACGAUGGACACUAUGUAUAGGGAAUAUCCACCCUCUCUGUGCCUAA
rnacentral:rRNA from 1 species